GGGCCUAUAGUUUAAUGGUAGAACGUCGGUCUCCAAAACCGUCGGCCGAGGUUCGAUUCCUCGUGGGCCCG
rfam:Parcubacteria bacterium C7867-001 C7867_00003, whole genome shotgun sequence.